GACGAACGCUGGCGGCGUGCUUAACACAUGCAAGUCGAACGAUGAAGAAAAGAAUUGAAGCUUCGGCAGAAAUUCAUUUCGGAUUAGUGGCAGACGGGUGAGUAACGCGUGAGCAACCUACCUCUUACAAAGGGAUAGCCUCGGGAAACCGGGAUUAAUACCAUAUAACAUUGCGACGAAGCAUUUCGAUGCAAUCAAAGCUACGGCGGUAAGAGAUGGGCUCGCGUCCCAUUAACCAGAUGGUGAGGUAACGGCUCACCAUAGUAACGAUGGGUAACCGGCCUGAGAGGGUGAACGGUCACACUGGAACUGAGACACGGUCCAGACUCCUACGGGAGGCAGCAGUGGGGAAUAUUGCACAAUGGAGGGAACUCUGAUGCAGCGACGCCGGGUGAGUGAUGAAGGAAUUCGUUUCGUAAAACUCUGUUCUAUGGGAAGAAAAGGACUGUACCAUAGGAGAAAGCUCCGGCUAAAUACGUG
rnacentral:rRNA from 1 species